UACGAAGGGGGCUAGCGUUGCUCGGAAUCACUGGGCGUAAAGCGCACGUAGGCGGAUCUUUAAGUCAGGGGUGAAAUCCUGGAGCUCAACUCCAGAACUGCCUUUGAUACUGAGGAUCUUGAGUUCGGGAGAGGUGAGUGGAACUGCGAGUGUAGAGGUGAAAUUCGUAGAUAUUCGCAAGAACACCAGUGGCGAAGGCGGCUUCCUGGCCUGUAACUGACGCUGAGACGCGAAAGCGUGGGGAGCGAACCGG
rnacentral:rRNA from 1 species